UACAGAGGUCUCAAGCGUUGUUCGGAUUCAUUGGGCGUAAAGGGUGCGUAGGUGGCGUCGUAAGUCGGGUGUGAAAUUUCGGAGCUCAACUCCGAAACUGCAUUCGAUACUGCGGUGCUUGAGGACUGGAGAGGAGACUGGAAUUUACGGUGUAGCAGUGAAAUGCGUAGAGAUCAUAAGGAAGACCAGUGGCGAAGGCGGGUCUCUGGACAGUUCCUGACACUGAGGCACGAAGGCCAGGGGAGCAAACGGG
rnacentral:rRNA from 1 species